CAUAUCAAUAAGCGGAGGAAAAGAAACCAACAGGGAUUGCCUUAGUAGCGGCGAGUGAAGCGGCAAAAGCUCAAAUUUGAAAUCUGGCACCUUCGGUGUCCGAGUUGUAAUUUGAAGAUUGUAACCUUGGGGUUGGCUCUUGUCUAUGUUUCUUGGAACAGGACGUCACAGAGGGUGAGAAUCCCGUGCGAUGAGAUGCCCAAUCCUAUGUAAGGUGCUUUCGAAGAGUCGAGUUGUUUGGGAAUGCAGCUCUAAGUGGGUGGUAAAUUCCAUCUAAAGCUAAAUAUUGGCGAGAGACCGAUAGCGAACAAGUACAGUGAUGGAAAGAUGAAAAGAACUUUGAAAAGAGAGUGAAAAAGUACGUGAAAUUGUUGAAAGGGAAGGGUUUGAGAUCAGACUCGAUAUUUUGUGAGCCUUGCCUUCGUGGCGGGGUGACCCGCAGCUUAUCGGGCCAGCAUCGGUUUGGGCGGUAGGAUAAUGGCGUAGGAAUGUGACUUUGCUUCGGUGAAGUGUUAUAGCCUGCGUUGAUGCUGCCUGCCUAGACCGAGGACUGCGAUUUUAUCAAGGAUGCUGGCAUAAUGAUCCCAAACCGC
rnacentral:rRNA from 2 species